CUGCCCAUGAUUAUUUAAUGGCCGCAGUACCCUGCACUGUGCAAAGGUAGCAUAAUCAAUUGGCUCAUAAUUGGAGUCUGGAAUGAAAGAAAGAAUAGGAAGGAACUGUUUCACAAUAAACAUUAAAAAUUAAUUAUUAAGUGCAAAUGCUUAAAUAUAUAUAUUAGACGAGAAGACCCUAGAAAUUUUAUGCUGUAUUAUGAGCAUUUUGUUGGGGCGACAGAGUAACAAGUGUUAACUUACUUAUAAUAUUUGUAGUGUUUUUUCAGAUAAAGUAAAUUACUCUAGGGAUAACAGCAUAAUUUUUAAUAGUUUGUGACCUCGAUGUUGGAUUAGGAAAGUAUUAAAGUUUAGAAGAUACAUAUUUUAGCUCUGUUCGAGCAAUUAUUCCUACGUGAUCUGA
rnacentral:rRNA from 1 species